GAUGAACGCUGGCGGCGUGCCUAAUACAUGCAAGUCGAGCGAACAGACGAGGAGCUUGCUCCUCUGACGUUAGCGGCGGACGGGUGAGUAACACGUGGAUAACCUACCUAUAAGACUGGGAUAACUUCGGGAAACCGGAGCUAAUACCGGAUAAUAUAUUGAGCCGCAUGGUUCAAUAGUGAAAGACGGUUUUGCUGUCACUUAUAGAUGGAUCCGCGCCGCAUUAGCUAGUUGGUAAGGUAACGGCUUACCAAGGCAACGAUGCGUAGCCGACCUGAGAGGGUGAUCGGCCACACUGGAACUGAGACAUGGUCCAGACUCCUACGGGAGGCAGCAGUAGGGAAUCUUCCGCAAUGGGCGAAAGCCUGACGGAGCAACGCCGCGUGAGUGAUGAAGGUCUUCGGAUCGUAAAACUCUGUUAUUAGGGAAGAACAAAUGUGUAAGUAACUAUGCACGUCUUGACGGUACCUAAUCAGAAAGCCACGGCUAACUACGUG
rnacentral:rRNA from 1 species